AUUGAACGCUGGCGGCAGGCCUAACACAUGCAAGUCGAGCGGAUGAAGGGAGCUUGCUCCUGGAUUCAGCGGCGGACGGGUGAGUAAUGCCUAGGAAUCUGCCUGGUAGUGGGGGAUAACGUCUGGAAACGGGCGCUAAUACCGCAUACGUCCUGCGGGAGAAAGUGGGGGAUCUUCGGACCUCACGCUAUCAGAUGAGCCUAGGUCGGAUUGGCUAGUUGGUGGGGUAAAGGCCUACCAAGGCGACGAUCCGUAACUGGUCUGACAGGAUGAUCGGUCACACUGGAACUGAGACACGGUCCAGGCUCCUACGGGAGGCAGCAGUGGGGAAUGUUGGACAGUGGGCGGAAGCCUGAUCCAGCCAUGCCGCGUGUGUGAAGAAGGUCUUCGGAUUGUAAAGCACUUUAAGUUGGGGGGAAGGGCAGUAGGUUAAUACCUUGCUGUUUUGACGUUACCAACAGAAUAAGCACCGGCUAACUACGUG
rnacentral:rRNA from 1 species